UGAGUACGAGAUGCUACGGCAUCGAAGCAGUCUAUGUCAUACUUCCAAGAAAAGCUUGCACUGUCAGAAACAGAUAAUGCCUGUACCAUAACCGACACAGGUGGGUAGGUAGAGUAUACUAAGGGGCGCGAGAUAACUCUCUCUAAGGAACUCGGCAAAAUGACUCCGUAACUUCGGGAGAAGGAGUGCCUUAUUUAUAAGGUUGCAAUAACAAGAUCCAAGCAACUGUUUAUCAAAAACACAGGUCUCCGCUAAGUCGUAAGACGAUGUAUGGGGGCUGACGCCUGCCCAGUGCCAGAAGGUUAAAGAAGUUGGUUAGUGUAUGCGAAGCUGAUGACUGAAGCCCUGGUGAACGGCGGCCGUAACAAUAACGGUCCUAAGGUAGCGAAAUUCCUUGUCGGGUAAGUUCCGACCCGCACGAAAGGCGUAAUGAUUUGGAUACUGUCUCGGAGAGAGGCUCGGUGAAAUAGACUUGUCUGUGGAGAUGCGGACUACCUGCACCAGGACAGAAAGACCCUAUGAAGCUUUACUGUAACUUGAAAUUGGAAUUGGACUUUGCUUGCGCAGUAUAGGUGGGAAGCGUUGAAGAUAUUCUUGCGGGAGUAUUGGAGCUAUCAGUGAGAUACCACUCUUGUAAUGUUAGAUUUCUAACUUUGAACCAUAAUCUGGUCAAAGAACAGUUUCAGGUGGGCAGUUUGACUGGGGCGGUCGCCUCCCAAAUGGUAACGGAGGCGUACAAAGGUUUCCUCUGAACGGAUAGAAAUCGUAUCUAGAGUGUAAAGGCAUAAGGAAGCUUGACUGUGAGACCUACAAGUCGAGCAGGGACGAAAGUCGGUCUUAGUGAUCUGACGGUACUGAGUGGAAAGGCCGUCACUCAACGGAUAAAAGUUACUCUAGGAUAACAGGCUGAUCUCCCCCAAGAGUUCACAUCGACGGGGAGGUUUGGCACCUCGAUGUCGGCUCAUCGCAUCCUGGGGCGGUAGUACGUCCCAAGGGUUGGGCUGUUCGCCCAUGAAAGCGGUACGCGAGCUGGGUUCAGAACGUCGUGAGACAGUUCGGUCCAUAUCCGGUGUAGGCGUUAGAAUAUUGAGAGGAGCCUUCUUUAGUACGAGAGGACCGAGAAGGACACACCGCUGGUGUACCAGUUAUCGUGCCAACGGUAAACGCUGGGUAGCUAUGUGUGGAGUGGAUAACCGCUGAAAGCAUCUAAGUGGGAAGCCCACCUCAAGAUGAGUAUUCUCAC
rnacentral:rRNA from 1 species